rnacentral:rRNA from 1 species
CACGUAGGCGGAUAGGUAAGUCAGAUGUGAAAUCCCGGAGCUCAACUCCGGAACUGCAUUUGAUACUGCCUGUCUUGAGUGAGGUAGAGGGGGUGGAAUUCCCGGUGUAGAGGUGAAAUUCGUAGAUAUCGGGAGGAACACCAGAGGCGAAGGCGACCCCCUGGGCCUCUACUGACGCUGAGGUGCGAAAGCGUGGGGAGCAAACA